rnacentral:tRNA from 1 species
GGUGGUUCAGUGGUAGAAAGCUCGCCUGCCACGCGGGUGGCCCGGGUUCGAUUCUCGGCUUAAGCA